CCUACGGGAGGCAGCAGUGAGGAAUAUUGGUCAAUGGACGCAAGCCUGAACCAGCCAUGCCGCGUGCAGGAUGACGGCCCUAUGAGUUGUAAACUGCUUUUGUACGGGGGUAAACCCCGAUACGUGUACCGGGUUGAAAGUAUCGUACGAAUAAGGAUCGGCUAACUCCGUGCCAGCAGCCGCGGUAAUACGGAGGAUCCGAGCGUUAUCCGGAUUUAUUGGGUUUAAAGGGUGCGUAGGCGGUUUGAUAAGUUAGGGGUGAAAGGUCGGGGCUCAACCCCGAAACUGCCGCUAAUACUGGCGGUCUAGAGUAUAGUUGAGGUAGGCGGAAUGCAUGGUGUAGCGGUGAAAUGCUUAGAGAUCACACAGAACACCGAUUGCGAAGGCAGCUUACCAAACUAUAACUGACGUUGAGGCACGAAAGCGUGGGUAGCAAACAGGAUUAGAUACCCGAGUAGUC
rnacentral:rRNA from 1 species